rnacentral:lncRNA from 1 species
CCGGCUCCGGGUCUUCCCCCGGCCCCGAAUCCGGAUCCCGGCAGCGCGGCUCCGGCUCCGUGUCUUGCCGCCGCCUCCAUCCCGUACUGCGUUCCAGCUCCGGGUUUUCCCCCAGCCCCGAAUCCGGAUCCCGGAGGCGACGACCCGACUCCGAAUCCGGUUCCGCUUCUCGACGCCGACCCCGAUCCGGGUCCAGCCGUCGGGAUUCCAGCUCCGGGUCUUGCCCCCACCACCACCACCGCCGCCGCCUCCAUCCCGUAGCGCGCUCCGGCUCCGGGUUUUCCCCCAGCCCCGAAUCCCGAUCCCGUCGUCGUCGUUCCGGCUCCGUUUUUUCCGGCUCCCGAUCCGGAUCCCGGCCUGGCUCCGGGUUUUCCCAGCCUGCCCUUCUGGUUGGGGAGGGGGUCCCGGUGCCCCCCGUGGUGCU